UACGUAGGGUGCAAGCGUUGUCCGGAUUUACUGGGCGUAAAGAGCGUGUAGGCGGCCAAGCAGGUCCGUUGUGAAAACUGGAGGCUUAACCUCCAGACGUCGACGGAAACCGCGUGGCUAGAGUCCGGAAGAGGAGAGUGGAAUUCCUGGUGUAGCGGUGAAGUGCGCAGAUAUCAGGAAGAACACCAAUGGCGAAGGCAGCUCUCUGGGACGGUACUGACGCUGAGACGCGAAAGCGUGGGGAGCGAACAGG
rnacentral:rRNA from 1 species